GACGAACGCUGGCGGCGUGCCUAAUACAUGCAAGUCGAACGGUUUAGUUCCAAGAGGCUCGCCUUUUGGAACUAGACAGUGGCGGACGGGUGAGUAACACGUAGGCAACCUACCUGUCAAACCGGGAUAACCUCGGGAAACCGAAGCUAAACCCGGAUAAGCUCCUUUUUCGCAUGAAGGGGGAGUGAAAAGGUGCGACCUGAUGACAGAUGGGCCUGCGGCGCAUUAGCUAGUAGGUAGGGUAACGGCCUACCUAGGCGAUGAUGCGUAGCCGACCUGAGAGGGCGUACGGCCACACUGGGAAUGAGAUACGGCCCAGAAUCCUACGGGAGGCAGCAGUAGGGAAUCUUCGGCAAUGGGCGAAAGCCUGACCGAGCAACGCCGCGUGAGUGAGGAAGGCCUUCGGGUUGUAAAACUCUGUUGUUUGGGAAGAAGGGAAAGGGUAGGACCCUUAGGUGACGGUACCAAACGAGAAAGCCCCGGCUAACUACGUG
rnacentral:rRNA from 1 species